UGUGUAUUUUUUUUUUGUUCAUUUUUAAACUAGACCUUGUGAAAGAGCUGUUUCUUCUGUGCUUUUGAACUGGAAGAUCUGUGGAAGCUUGGGUGUUCCCCCAGAUGCAUUCAAGCGAGUUUCCUCAUGGAAAUGUAACCCAUUCAAUAGCAAACCCACAAGGAAACGUUAAUAUCUUGAGAUCCAGCUGGUGACAGAAGGACCUCCAAGGACUGAUGACUUGGCUAAAAUCUCUCUGUAUUUUCAGCUUGCAACUGCAAUGGCCACGCCUAUGACUGCUAUUACGACCCCGAGGUGGAUCGCCACAAAGCCAGCAAGAGUCGUGAAGACAGAUACGAAGGGGGAGGUGUCUGCAUUGACUGCCAGCAUCACACCACUGGCAUUAACUGUGAGAGGUGCAUCCCAGGAUACUACCGCUCCCCUGACCACCCGAUCGACUCUCCCUACAUUUGCUAUCGCUGUAACUGCGAAUCUGACUUCACCGAUGGCACCUGUGAGGACCUCACCGGCCGCUGUUACUGCAAGCCCAAUUACACCGGGGAGCGCUGCGAUGCCUGUGCUGAGGGAUACCUCGACUUCCCCCACUGCUACCCUGUUCCAGCUUUCGCUUACAACGAUACCGGAGAACAAGUGCUCCCUGCGGGACAGAUAA
rnacentral:lncRNA from 1 species